CUCCAGGCUAGGAGGGGAGGACAGAGCUCCCAGGAGCCAAAGGGGCCAUCUGAGGCCAGGAUGGAAUGGGGAGGCUGAGCCAGAUAGGGGGACCAGGGCUGCAGGCAGGACUAGGAAGAAACUGAGGACCAGGAAGAGGGUCGUGAAGGGAAA